rnacentral:rRNA from 1 species
CCUACGGGAGGCAGCAGUAGGGAAUCUUCCACAAUGGACGAAAGUCUGAUGGAGCAACGCCGCGUGAGCGAUGAAGGCCUUCGGGUCGUAAAGCUCUGUUGUUAGGGAAGAACAAGUAUCGGAGUAACUGCCGGUACCUUGACGGUACCUAACCAGAAAGCCACGGCUAACUACGUGCCAGCAGCCGCGGUAAUACGUAGGUGGCAAGCGUUGUCCGGAAUUAUUGGGCGUAAAGCGCGCGCAGGCGGUCCUUUAAGUCUGAUGUGAAAGCCCACGGCUCAACCGUGGAGGGUCAUUGGAAACUGGGGGACUUGAGUGCAGAAGAGGAAAGCGGAAUUCCACGUGUAGCGGUGAAAUGCGUAGAGAUGUGGAGGAACACCAGUGGCGAAGGCGGCUUUCUGGUCUGUAACUGACGCUGAGGCGCGAAAGCGUGGGGAGCAAACAGGAUUAGAUACCCUGGUAGUCCACGCCGUAAACGAUGAGUGCUAAGUGUUAGGGGGUUUCCGCCCCUUAGUGCUGCAGCUAACGCAUUAAGCACUCCGCCUGGGGAGUACGGCCGCAAGGCUGAAACUCAAAGGAAUUGACGG